GACGAACGCUGGCGGCGUGCCUAAUACAUGCAAGUAGAACGCUGAAGGAGGAUCUUGCUUCUCUGGAUGAGUUGCGAACGGGUGAGUAACGCGUAGGUAACCUUCCUGUUAGCGGGGGAUAACUAUUGGAAACGAUAGCUAAUACCGCAUAAUAGCAGUUGUUGCAUGACAACUGUUUGAAAGGUGCAAUUGCACCACUACCAGAUGGACCUGCGUUGUAUUAGCUGGUUGGUGGGGUAACGGCUCACCAAGGCGACGAUACAUAGCCGACCUGAGAGGGGGGUAGGCCACACUGGGACUGAGCCACGGCCCAGACUACUACGAGAGGCAGCAGUAGGGAAUGUGAGGCAAUGGACGGAAGUAUGGCCGAGUAAGGCCGAGUGAGUGAAGAAGGCUUUCGGAUCGUAAAGAUCUGUUGUGAGAGAAGAACGAGUGUGAGCGUGGAAAGUUCACACUGUGACGGUAUCUGAAGAGAAAGGGACGGCUAACUACGUG
rnacentral:rRNA from 1 species